rnacentral:lncRNA from 1 species
UAAUGUAAUAUAAUAUUAUAUUUAUAGUAUAAUACAAUAAUAAAGAUAUAAGAUAUUAUAAUUCUUAUUAUUAUAUAUUAAUAUUAUUAUUUUUUGUAAUUAUUAUAUUUUAUCAUGGGUAUUUUGGUUCAAAAUAAAAAUUAUAACUCAAAAUAGCUUACCGACGAGGCCUAAAAGUGCUUUUCCGGAGAAGCUCCAAAAUAGAGCUGCUUCUAAAAAGCUGUUUUAGCUUUAUAGCAAAGCUAAAACUACUUCUCAAUUUUUUUAACAAACACCCCUAUUCCACCUAAAAGUGCUUUUGCUUUCUGGCCCUCCAAAA